AUUGAACGCUGGCGGCAGGCUUAACACAUGCAAGUCGAGCGGGGGAAGGUAGCUUGCUACCGGACCUAGCGGCGGACGGGUGAGUAAUGCUUAGGAAUCUGCCUAUUAGUGGGGGACAACAUCUCGAAAGGGAUGCUAAUACCGCAUACGUCCUACGGGAGAAAGCAGGGGAUCUUCGGACCUUGCGCUAAUAGAUGAGCCUAAGUCGGAUUAGCUAGUUGGCGGGGUAAAGGCCUACCAAGGGGACGAUCUGUAGCGGGUCUGAGAGGAUGAUCCGCAACACUGGGACGGAGGCACGGCCCAGACUCCUACGGGAGGCAGCAGUGGGGAAUAUUGGACAAUGGGGGGAACCCUGAGCCAGCCAUGCCGCGUGUGUGAAGAAGGCCUUAUGGUUGUAAGGCACUUUAAGCGAGGAGGAGGCUACUCUAGUUAAUACCUAGGGAUAGUGGACGUUACUCGCAGAAUAAGCACCGGCUACCUCUGUGCCAGCCGCCGCAGUAA
rnacentral:rRNA from 1 species